rnacentral:rRNA from 1 species
CGUGUAGGCGGGAAGGAAAGUCAGAUGUGAAAUCCCCAGGCUCAACCUGGGAACUGCAUUUGAAACUCCCUUUCUUGAGUACCGGAGAGGAAAGUGGAAUUCCUGGUGUAGAGGUGAAAUUCGUAGAUAUCAGGAGGAACACCAGUGGCGAAGGCGGCUUUCUGGACGGUAACUGACGCUGAGACGCGAAAGCGUGGGGAAGCAAACAG